rnacentral:rRNA from 1 species
UACGUAGGGGGCUAGCGUUGUCCGGAAUCAUUGGGCGUAAAGAGCGUGUAGGCGGCCCGGUAAGUCCGCUGUAAAAGUCAAAGGCUCAACCUUUGAAUGUCAGUGGAUACUGCCGGGCUAGAGUCCGGAAGAGGCGAGUGGAACUCCUGGUGUAGCGGUGGAAUGCGCAGACAUCAGGAAGAACACCAACGGCGAAGGCAGCUCGCUAGGACGGUACUGACGCUGAGACGCGAAAGCGUGGGAGCGAACAGG